AAUCAACGCUGGCGGCGUGCCUAACACAUGCAAGUCGAACGCGAAAGGGGGCUUCGGCCCUGAGUAGAGUGGCGAACGGGUGAGUAACACGUGGGUGACCUACCCUCGAAUGGGGGGAUAACGUCCCGAAAGGGACGCUAAUACCGCAUAACAUCCUGCCUUUGAACAGGUGAGAUCAAAGCUGGGGAUCGCAAGACCUGGCGUUUAGAAGAGGGGCCCGCGUCCGAUUAGCUAGUUGGGAGGUAACGGCUCACCAAGGCGACGAUCGGUAGCCGGCCUGAGAGGGCGGACGGCCACACUGGGACUGAGACACGG
rnacentral:rRNA from 1 species